UCCCCGUUACCGGGGCAGUCUGAUUAGAAAAAUCCAACUAAUCAUAAGGGUUGCGCUCGUUGAUGGACUUAACCAAACAUCUCACGACACGAGCUGACGACGGCCAUGCAGCACCUGUCACUGAGUUCCGGGUUACAACACACAAAAAAACUAUAAGUAGUUUAUGUGCUCUAACCCGGCACUCACUCCUUUCGGAGUAAUUCUCAGGAUGUCAAGUCUGGGUAAGGUUCUUCGCUUAGCCUCGAAUUAAACAACACGCUCCACCGCUUGUGCGGGUCCCCGUCAAUUCCUUUGAGUUUUAAUCUUGCGACCGUACUCCCCAGGCGGGAUGCUUAACGCGUUAGCUUCGUUACUGACCGGGUCGAUACGGCCAACAACUAGCAUCCAUAGUUUACGGCGU
rnacentral:misc_RNA from 1 species